rnacentral:rRNA from 1 species
CAGUUCGGAUUNAAGGCUGAAAUUCGCCUUCCAUGAAGCCGGAAUUGCUAGUAAUGGCAGGUCAGCAUACUGCCGUGAAUACGUUCCCGGGCCCUUGUACACACCGCCCGUCACACCAUGAGAGUUGGGAAUACCCGAAGCCUGUGAGCUAACGAAAGAGGCAGCAGUCGAAGGUAGAAUCAAUGAUUGGGGUGAAGUCGUAACAAGGUACC